AUGAGCUGUCCGUUAUCCGAAAUGAUUGUAUCCAUCAAUAAGAUCAAGCUUUUUGUCGGCGACAGGAACAAUAACCCACAUUCAGAUGCAGAGAUUUGUCCCCUGAGAUUAAAUAAAAAGAGGAAAUGA
rnacentral:rRNA from 1 species